rnacentral:lncRNA from 1 species
UCUCUGCGACUCCGCCUCUCACAAAGUCACAAUUGGUCUUCCUCAGUCCUCACCUCUGCGGCUCUGCCUCUCAACUCUCACAAGUCACAAUCGGUCUCUUGCGUCUCUGUCCCAGCCUCCAAGGUACCCCAAGGUGGUCUUGAUUGGCGACUCCGGCGUUGGCAAGUCCAAUCUCCUCUCCAGCCUUCACGGGCAGAUCUGGUGGUUUGUGGUUGCAUGUGGGUUUGUUGAACAUUAAUAGCUGGCCAUAGCUGUGAUACUGUCAUCAAAGCGACGGCACUGGUUGAUAGAGAUGGUGGUGUCUUUGGAUGAAAGACACGUCGGGGGGAGGAUUCAAGGAAGCAUAUCAAGUGUGCAGCUGAGAGAUUCUUUGCCACCAACUUUUCAAGUUUAGCAGACUUGAGAUUCCUUUUUGGUUUGCAUGUUAGAGGUCCACCGAAAAGCUGUUUUGAAUUGGUCUUCAAGGAUUUUUUUAAUAGGAUUACUCUAAUGCUGGUUUUCUUAGAUUUUAUCUUUUGAGAAUUACAUCUUUGUGUGACCAGAGAUCUAGUAAAACUUUAUGGUUGUAUUGAUAUAUGUAUCGAAUGUAUUUUGGUACCAUUCAUAGGAUAAUAGAAAGGAAAUUUUAAUAUUGUCAUUCUGCAUAUUUUAUGUAAGUUAAGGAAUAAUAAUUAAACAGGUAUCAAUCUGCAGGGAGUAUCAAUCUGCAGCUAGGUUGUAUGACCUGUCAACAAAAUUUGGUGUUUGUGGUAUAAAUGUAUAACUAUGUAAUGUAUAAAUGUGUAAUACAAUGUCUUUUUAAACUGAAAUGUGUAGGGAAAAAAAUUUGAAGACGGAGGAACAGCUGCAUGGAAUUGAGCAUGGCAGCAUGGAACUGAUGGAAGUUUGGUUGUUCACUUGUUACAAUAUGUGUUGGUGA